rnacentral:rRNA from 1 species
UACGUAGGUGGCAAGCGUUGUCCGGAUUUACUGGGCGUAAAGAGCGCGCAGGCGGUCGUUCAAGUCGCGUGUGAAAGCCCCCGGCUCAACUGGGGAGGGUCACGCGAUACUGAUCGACUCGAAGGCAGGAGAGGGUAGUGGAAUUCCCGGUGUAGUGGUGAAAUGCGUAGAUAUCGGGAGGAACACCAGUGGCGAAGGCGGCGAUCUGGGCUGAUACUGACGCUGAGGUGCGAAAGCGUGGGGAGCAAACAGG